UACGUAGGGUGCAAGCGUUAAUCGGAAUUACUGGGCGUAAAGCGUGCGCAGGCGGUUGUGCAAGACAGAUGUGAAAUCCCCGGGCUUAACCUGGGAACUGCAUUUGUGACUGCACGGCUAGAGUGUGUCAGAGGGGGGUAGAAUUCCACGUGUAGCAGUGAAAUGCGUAGAUAUGUGGAGGAAUACCGAUGGCGAAGGCAGCGCCCUGGGAUAACACUGACGCUCAUGCACGAAAGCGUGGGGAGCAAACAGG
rnacentral:rRNA from 1 species